rnacentral:rRNA from 1 species
CCCUUAGAUGUUCUGGGCGGCCCGCGCACUACAAUGGCGUGUGCAGCGAGUGCCGAAGUAGAGUUUUCCGAGGUAUUCUUGCAAUGCUCGUUUUGAUGGGGAUAGACCCUUGCAACUGUUGGUUUUGAACGAGGAAUUCCUUGUAAGCAUGGUUUAUCAUCCGACGCUGAAUGCGUCCCUGCCCUUUGUACACACCGCCCGUCGCUCCUACCGAUGAGUCGUCCGGUGAAGCCUCGGGAUUGUGGUUCUUGCCGCUUUAUUGUGGCGUGACCGCGGGAACUUGUCUAAACCUUAUCAUCUAGAGGAAGGUGAAGUCGUAACA